rnacentral:rRNA from 1 species
CCUACGGGAGGCAGCAGUGAGGAAUAUUGGUCAAUGGGCGCGAGCCUGAACCAGCCAAGUCGCGUGAGGGAGGACGGCCCUACGGGUUGUAAACCUCUUUUGCCGGGGAGCAACGUGCGUCACGUGUGGCGCCCCUGAGAGUACCCGGAGAAAAAGCAUCGGCUAACUCCGUGCCAGCAGCCGCGGUAAUACGGAGGAUGCGAGCGUUAUCCGGAUUUAUUGGGUUUAAAGGGUGCGUAGGCGGAUCGUUAAGUCAGUGGUCAAAUUGAGGGGCUCAACCCCUUCCCGCCAUUGAAACUGGCGCUCUUGAGUGGAAGAGAAGUAUGCGGAAUGCGUGGUGUAGCGGUGAAAUGCAUAGAUAUCACGCAGAACCCCGAUUGCGAUGGCAGCAUGCCGGCUUCCGACUGACGCUGAAGCACGAAAGCGUGGGGAUCGAACAGGAUUAGAUACCCCUGUAGUC